rnacentral:rRNA from 1 species
ACUCAAAGGAAUUGACGGGGGCCCGCACAAGCGGUGGAGCAUGUGGUUUAAUUCGACGCUACGCGAAAAACCUUACCUGGGCUCGAACGACUGGUGUUAGUCCUGUAGAAAUACGGGAUGACCCGCAAGGGAGCCAGCCGAGGUGCUGCAUGGUUGUCGUCAGCUCGUGUCGUGAGAUGUUGGGUUAAGUCCCGCAACGAGCGCAACCCUCGUCCCAUGUUGCUACCCCGCAAGGGGAGGACUCUUGGGAGACUGCCGCGGAUAACGUGGAGGAAGGUGGGGAUGACGUCAAAUCAUCAUGGCCUUUAUGUCCAGGGCUACACACGUGCUACAAUGGCGUAAAACAGAAGGACGCAAGACCGCAAGGUGGAGCAAAUCCUCAAAGUACGCCUCAGUUCAGAUCGAGGGCUGCAAUUCGUCCUCGUGAAGGUGGAAUCGCUAGUAAUCGCGCAUCAGAAAUGGCGCGGUGAAUACGUUCCCGGGCCUUGUACACACCGCCCGU